UACGUAGGGUGCGAGCGUUGUCCGGAAUUAUUGGGCGUAAAGAGCUUGUAGGUGGCUCGUCGCGUCGGGAGUGAAAACCCGAGGCUCAACCUCGGGCCUGCAGUCGAUACGGGCAGACUAGAGUUCGGUAGGGGAGACUGGAAUUCCUGGUGUAGCGGUGAAAUGCGCAGAUAUCAGGAGGAACACCGGUGGCGAAGGCGGGUCUCUGGGCCGAAACUGACGCUGAGGAGCGAAAGCGUGGGGAGCGAACAGG
rnacentral:rRNA from 1 species